rnacentral:rRNA from 1 species
AACGAACGCUGGCGGCAUGCCUAACACAUGCAAGUCGAACGAGACCUUCGGGUCUAGUGGCGCACGGGUGCGUAGCGCGUGGGAACCUGCCCUUAGGUUCGGAAUAACUCCCCGAAAGGGGUGCUAAUACCGGAUAAUGUCUUCGGACCAAAGAUUUAUCGCCUUUGGAUGGGCCCGCGUUGGAUUAGCUAGUUGGUAGGGUAAAAGCCUACCAAGGCGACGAUCCAUAGCUGGUCUGAGAGGAUGAUCAGCCACACUGGGACUGAGACACGGCCCAGACUCCUACGGGAGGCAGCAGCGGGGAAUAUUGGACAAUGGGCGAAAGCCUGAUCCAGCAAUGCCGCGUGAGUGAUGAAGGCCUUAGGGUUGUAAAGCUCUUUUACCCGGGAUGAUAAUGACAGUACCGGGAGAAUAAGCUCCGGCUAACUCCGUG